UGCAGCGCAAGGGGCCAGAUUCCCCGUGGUCCACGACAUACGGUGAAGCCUAAGGAGCAAAGGGGAGACAGUGGUUGAGACAUAUGGUAAAAGACUGCAUUUCUUCUUGGAAGAAGGGCUGUGACAGUGGCCAUAGCAAGCCAGGGGCUGUCAUGGGUGUACAAGGGGGAAGCCACAGAUUAUCCAGAAUUCUUGUUUCUGGCCUUAAUUUUAGUCCCUUCCACUCCUGCCCUAAGAAUUUUGACCCCUGCUUCCUUCCUUGACACUUUUCCCCCUCACCCAGAGUAGAAUUCUGUGUCACCCAAUUAAUGAUCCAGGUAGAUGCCACCCUAUAGAUAUGAGAACAGCACCCAAGCAUCCCCACUGGGAACCGGAAAGAAAGAAGAAAAAUACACAGAGGGAGAUGGAAAGAAGCAGAAUAUAAACAGCGCCUUGAAAAAAUAAAAAUAAAAAAAUAAACAGCGCCUUGA